GCCCGGUUGGCACAAUUGGUUAGCGCGUGCGGCUUUUACGAGACGUCAGUCACAAUAAACCGCAAGGUUGAGAGUUCAAGCCUCUCAUCGGGCG